GGAUAGCGACAUUUAAAGGGUGGAGGAGAGGAGAGUCAGCGAACUAGAACUUACGGACAAAGUGGAGUAAUAAUCAAAGUACGGAUAUACUGGCCACCCGGGUAAACAUCCACCCCAGCAAAACACAACCGACCCACACCUUAGCUUCCCACACCAACCAACGAGGACGGCGUCUCGGGUAACCCGUUGGAGCGUUGGGAUCGGGGUUAGGUGUAGGGGGUGCGGGGAGUGAGGAGCGAGGAGGAGGAAGGGAGCAGACGGCGGAGUGAGGGAAGGAGAGGAGGGAGCAGCGGGAUCCUCGGGGCGGCGGAUGACGACGAGGAGGUGGUGGAGCGGAGAAAGAGGAGGAGCGGAAGGGUAGCGAGCGCGCAUCCAGCAGCGGCAGCCUCUUGUCCCCUCACGCCCAGAAGUUCAACCCCAACAGUACUCCCGAAGGGUUGGGCUGCCGCGGAGGAGGAGCGUCGCAACAGCGGGCGCGGGGAAGAAGAGGAAGGAGGAGGGAGAAGGGAGGGAGCAGUGAUGCAGGUGGUCAGGGGAGGGAGGGAGUAGUGAUGCAGCUGGUCAGGAAAGGGAGGGAACAGGCACCGGCGACGACGGCGUACUUAGAGGGUUCAGUCCCUUUCCUUCUUCCGGAACCGCUCAGAUUCGGAUGCUUCCUUUCGUCGUCCCCAACCACCUCGCUGACUACACCUACCCCAGCCGCCAACUCCCUUCCAACGGCUGGUCUCUUCGUCCUCGUUCUUCGAGCUCUUCUAACCUAUGUGUACCAAGUCGUUUCUCCCUCACACGUUGGCGUUGUCUCUAUCCCUGUACCUCGUUCUCACACACCGAUCCGACACGUUUAAAAGAGGAAGCUCUUUCGUUCACAAAAGACAACUACUCGAACAUCACCCUCCUUGAUCCUUUCUUCGUGUUUGCUGUUCGACGGUUAUAUAGACAUUCUUUAAACGUAUGUUGUCUCCCCCAUACCAUUAACAACAAUUGUAUUUCAACAGGCGGAAGUUCUAAAAAUGAAAGACUAAUACUUUCAACUUCGUAUCAACAGUCGUCCCAAUACCAUUAACAACAAAUGAACUACUUAUAAUUAAUUAUUUAAAGUAUUUCUACUGACAACUCACCAUUUUAAUAACAAAAGGUGUAACUUCGGUUCCAGUUGGAUACACAAAAACGUACAAGUAGGUAAGCUUACGCCAGAAAACACGCCUAUACAACGUACAAAAAAAAAUUAACUUCAUCCGGUACUAAGUACUACAAUCUACAAAGCAAAAUGAAGGAGAUACAUAACCGUACAACAAAUAAACAAACGACUACCAUAACUAUUUGGGUCCAAGUCGGCCCCGCAACACGAAACAAGCAGGAGCACAAACAGCGGACAACAAAUGGUACCGAGGGGAAACAAGGUAUACCAGAUCCUUGACGUUCCAACGAUGAAUAGCAGCGGUUCAAAAAAUGUCCGCAUCGAUUUAGGUUUCAACAAAGGCAUAAGUCUUAUUAUCCUUGUUUUAAAUCACUUUGUGUUCGCACGUCCGACGGUUAAAUCACGAGUCCAUGUCGGUGAGAACUAAACAUCAAGUAACCAAUUAAAUCUUAGAUCUUUACUUCAGGAGAAACGAAUACCUAAGAGGUGAAAAAGGUUCCCUUAACAAAAGAUUCAUGUAUACCUCUGUGACUACAAACUGAAUGUUACAACAAACUGUGUAACGAGACGAAGUUCGAGAGUGACUACCUAAACGUCAUGCGGACUUGAACCUGAGACAGGUUUGGUUGUCUCAACACUUACUCGAGACGAUCGAUACGAUAUAUAUAAACUGGUAAAGAUCUAGCAGAAUCGAGUACGGUACUCGAACCCAUUGCACAGUGGCGUUACGCAUUACAGAUAAUGAAGACGGAAAAAGGAUAGACAUGUAAACCUCUUUUUGCCUAGCACAAUAAAGACGCAAACUGUUAAGGUAAAUCCACAUUUUCGGAUCGAUACAAAACAAGGAAAAACAAAAGACAUAUCAAACACGUGACUGGUUACUAAACACUACAGGUACUUAUGAUAAUUCCGUAACAACUUGAAACGGAAAAAGGAUAGACAUAUAAACCUCUUAUUCCGUAUGUACAUCAGUCUCACAACGAAGGGUCCACUCGACUCCACUAUUGACUCGGGAGAAUAUGACAUCUCGUCCAAGUUAUAAACGAACAUAAAAGUACACGGUUUCCUAUCAAGACAAGCACAACAACACCGAACACUGUCAACGGCUUUUUUCUCUUCUGCUACUCGUUCUAUGCCGCCGGUUGUAACACAAUUAACGGACGAAAUACGUUUUGAUUUUGUUCAGUUUGAUUUUACGAAACCAUACAUAACCGAUUUAAUCUCGCAUACUCUAACCGUAUACUUCCUAUUGUGAUGUUCAACCGUGUGGAUCUUUAACUAAUUACGGAAAAGAAAACAGAGAAACGUAUCACGGGUCCAUCACAAGUAAUCAUCCAAGUUUCCUACGAGUCUAAAAAUUAAGAGCCAAAUAAGAUGGUACCUAAGGAAGACCAUACACGUACAAAGUUUUGACUUAUAUGUGCAUCCUCUUUGAACUCUCGGUUAUAAUCACGAAUUCCUAAUGAGAGUCACGGUAAGAUACGAUAGUACCAUUUUAUCCGGUUAUGUGUAAGUCCUUUAUACACUGGUUGAAAGGGUUCCAGGACGUAGCAGAUGAGUCAAAUUAAGAAUCAGAUGUUGGAGGUUUUGGACGUCAAAAUAAAAAUAUUUACCAAUUCGCGGGUAACGAGAUUCGCAGUCGGACAGCGAAGCGAAUACGAAUUGCGAAAGGAGUUGUAACUAAAGACAGUUUGUUUGAAAAACAAAGAAUUCAAAAGUACAACUAAUGACUAACACCCUCAACUUAACACGAGAUCACCUUCACAAUCUCACAUCGUAAAAACAUUCGUAUUAGAUAUAGGUAAGGAUAACCCUUGUAUGUGUACAUCCAAAAACAUUCGUCUUAUGACAUCCUCGUAUGAUAAUCCUGAAUGCAUCUACCCGAUAAGAUCUGUAACCGUUCUCUUACCAGACGUAGGAUAUAUACCAGAAUCACGCAAGAUUUUUUCGUGCACAAUUUAUCGACAGUCGUGUUGCUAAAGAUUGAUUAUCUUACAAUGAGGGCAACCAUAUAUACUCCGUUACAGAUUAUAAAAGAAUCUUAUUACCAAAUUAAUUAACCUAUUAAUAGUGAAAGAGCUACGCGGAUGAAAGUCUCUACAUUUUAGGUCCUGAGAUACAUUACACGGAAGUUAUAGAUAAGUUAUCAACUUAUCGUUGUAGUUUAGUAAGAGAACUUGAAUAAUAUAGUACGAGAGAUUGAGGAACCGUAAAUUAAGCUCAAUUUGUUUAGAACAAGUAUCGCUUUUUAUGUAAAAUAUCUUUCUAUCGGGAAAUAAGACAAAUAAUAGAGAUCGAUGAAGAUGACAUCAGGAACGAAUUGUGACUACAAGCAGAACACUGUCUAGGUCCUAUAAGACACCGGGUUCAAGGGAUGUCUUAUUACGGUUCAGAUUAAAGUUGUCACCCGUACUGUCGGAGUUUGAAGAGAGAAGUUAUAACUUCUUCGCCGAAUGAGCCUAGUUACCCGGACGUGAAUCUUUUAUCGAUCUCUCAUGCUCUAUAAGGAUCUCAUUUAUUUCCCGUACCACACGACUAUGCAAUCUGUCUUCGUUUUACAAUGAAUAAUGCGAGGAUAACAACAUAGGAAUCUGUAAAAGAAGGUGGAUGGUAUGUGGUCAUAACUUAUAACUUUCACGCAAUAUAGCUGAUCUCCCCCGC
rnacentral:rRNA from 1 species